rnacentral:tRNA from 1 species
GGGGAUAUAGCUCAGUGGUACAGCGUCUGCCUGGCAAGUACAAGGUCAUGAGUUCAAUUCUCAGUACCA